CACGGGUGCGUAACGCGUAGGUAAUCUGCCAUGAGGUCUGACAUAACCCGUCGAAAGGCGGGCUAACAUCAGAUGAUAUAUAAUCACGACAUCGUGGAAAUAUCAAAUCUUCGGAGCCUUGGGAUGAGCCUGCGUCUGAUUAGGUAGUUGGCGGAGUAAUAGCCCACCAAGCCUACGAUCAGUAGCUGGUCUGAGAGGAUGAUCAGCCACACUGGAACUGAGACACGGUCCAGACUCCUACGGGAGGCAGCAGUAAGGAAUAUUGCUCAAUGGGGGAAACCCUGAAGCAGCAACGCCGCGUGAAGGAUGAAAUUACUUUUGUAUGUAAACUUCUGUAAGAUGGGAAAAAUAUUCUCCUCGGGAGAAUUGAUUGUACCAUCAGAGUAAGCCCCGGCUAACUACGUG
rnacentral:rRNA from 1 species